rnacentral:rRNA from 1 species
GAUGAACGCUAGCGGCAGGCUUAAUACAUGCAAGUCGUGGGGCAGCAUGAAGUAGCAAUACUUUGAUGGCGACCGGCAAACGGGUGCGGAACACGUACACAACCUUCCUUUAAGUGGGGAAUAGCCCAGAGAAAUUUGGAUUAAUACCCCGUAACAUAGCGAUGUGGCAUCACAUUGCUAUUAUAGCUUCGGCGCUUAAUGAUGGGUGUGCGUAUGAUUAGAUAGUUGGCGAGGUAACGGCUCACCAAGUCUACGAUCAUUAGCUGAUGUGAGAGCAUGAUCAGCCACACGGGCACUGAGACACGGGCCCGACUCCUACGGGAGGCAGCAGUAAGGAAUAUUGGUCAAUGGACGCAAGUCUGAACCAGCCAUGCCGCGUGAAGGAUUAAGGUCCUCUGGAUUGUAAACUUCUUUUAUAUGGGACGAAAACAGAUCUGUCUAGAUCCUUUGACGGUACCAUAUGAAUAAGCACCGGCUAACUCCGUG